CCUACGGGUGGCAGCAGUGGGGAAUAUUGCGCAAUGGGCGAAAGCCUGACGCAGCGACGCCGCGUGAGGGAUGAAGGUCUUCGGAUCGUAAACCUCUGUCAGCAGGGAAGAACGGUCACUGUGCUAAUCAGCAGUGAAUUGACGGUACCUGCAAAGGAAGCACCGGCUAACUCCGUGCCAGCAGCCUCGGUAAUACGUAGGGUGCGAGCGUUAAUCGGAAUUACUGGGCGUAAAGCGCUCGUAGGCGGUAUGUCCAGUCAAGGGGGAAAUCCCCGCGCUCAACGUGGGAACUGCCUUUGAAACUGGCAAACUGGAGUGUGUGAGAGGAUAGGGGAAUUCCAGGUGUAGGAGUGAAAUCCGUAGAUAUCUGGAGGAACAGCAGUGGCGAAGGCGACUAUCUGGCACAUAACUGACGCUGAGGAGCGAAAGCGUGGGUAGCAAACAGGAUUAGAUACCCUAGUAGUC
rnacentral:rRNA from 1 species